AUUGAACGCUGGCGGCAGGCCUAACACAUGCAAGUCGAACGAGUGGCGGACGGGUGAGUAAUGUCUGGGAAACUGCCUGAUGGAGGGGGAUAACUACUGGAAACGGUAGCUAAUACCGCAUACCCUCGGAUGUGCCCAGUUGGGAUUAGCUAGUGGGUGGGGUAAAGGCUCACCUAGGCGACGAACCCUAUAUGGUCUGAGAGGAUGACCAGCCACACGGGAACUGUGACAAGGUCCAGACUCCUACGGGAGGCAGCAGUGGGGAAUAUUGCAAAAUGGGCGCAAUCCUGAUGCAUCCAUGCCGCGUGAGUGAAGAAGGCCUUCGGGUUGUAAAGCACUUUCAGCGGGGAGGCGUUACCCGCAGUAGAAGCACCGGCUAACUCCGUGCCAGCAGCCGCGGUAAUAC
rnacentral:rRNA from 1 species